UAAUACGUAGGGGGCAAGCGUUGUCCGGAAUUAUUGGGCGUAAAGCGCGCGCAGGCGGCUAUUUAAGUCUGGUGUUUAAACCUUGGGCUCAACCUGAGGUCGCACUGGAAACUGGGUGGCUUGAGUACAGAAGAGGAAAGUGGAAUUCCACGUGUAGCGGUGAAAUGCGUAGAUAUGUGGAGGAACACCAGUGGCGAAGGCGACUUUCUGGGCUGUAACUGACGCUGAGGCGCGAAAGCGUGGGGAGCAAACAGGAUUAGAUACCCUGGUAGUCCACGCCGUAAACGAUGAGUGCUAGGUGUUAGGGGUUUCGAUACCCUUGGUGCCGAAGUUAACACAGUAAGCACUCCGCCUGGGGAGUACGGUCGCAAGACUG
rnacentral:rRNA from 2 species